rnacentral:rRNA from 1 species
GACGAACGCUGGCGGCGUGCUUAACACAUGCAAGUCGAACGGAAAGGCCCUGCUUGCAGGGUACUCGAGUGGCGAACGGGUGAGUAACACGUGGGUGAUCUGCCCUGCACUUCGGGAUAAGCCUGGGAAACUGGGUCUAAUACCGGAUAGGAGCCAUUUUUAGUGUGAUGGUUGGAAAGUUUUUUCGGUGUAGGAUGGGCUCGCGGCCUAUCAGCUUGUUGGUGGGGUAAUGGCCUACCAAGGCGGCGACGGGUAGCCGGCCUGAGAGGGUGGACGGCCACAUUGGGACUGAGAUACGGCCCAGACUCCUACGGGAGGCAGCGGUGGGGAAUAUUGCACAAUGGGCGCAAGCCUGAUGCAGCGACGCCGCGUGGGGGAUGACGGCCUUCGGGUUGUAAACUCCUUUCGCUAGGGACGAAGCUUUUUGUGACGGCACCUAGAUAAGAAGCACCGGCUAACUACGUG